GAUGAAGAACGUAGCGAAAUGCGAUAAGUAGUGUGAAUUGCAGAAUUCAGUGAAUCAUCGAAUCUUUGAACGCACAUUGCGCCCUUUGGUAUUCCUUAGGGCAUGCCUGUUCGAGCGUCAUUUAAACCUUCAAGCUAAGCUUGGUGUUGGGUGACUGUCCGCUUCACGGCGGACUCGCCUCAAAAUUAUUGGCGGCCGGUACAUUGGCUUCGAGCGCAGCAGAAACGCGAACUCGGGCCCGUCGUAUUGGCUCCCAGAAGCUAUCUUCACAAUUUUGACCUCGGAUCAGAUAGGGAUACCCGCUGAACUUAAGCAUAUCAAUAAGCGGAGGA
rnacentral:misc_RNA from 1 species